rnacentral:rRNA from 1 species
UGCUAAAGCGGAGGAAGGAAUGGGCAACGGUAGGUCAGUAUGCCCCGAAUAUCCCGGGCUACACGCGAGCUACAAUGGUUGGUACAAGUGGGUAUCUACCCCGAAAGGGGACGGGAUCUCCUAAAACCAAUCUUAGUUCGGAUUGAGGGCUGCAACUCGCCCUCAUGAAGCUGGAAUCCGUAGUAAUCGCGUUUCAACAGAACGCGGUGAAUACGUCCCUCGGCUCCUU